GAAAUAUGAUCUGUGAUAGGUGUCUGAAGUAGUGGUAGUAGAGCCCGUGGUGGUGUAGCCCGCCGUUCAGGAGUUACAAUUGGAAGGACAAGCUGCUCUAUCCGUCCAAGAUCAACUAGGAAGAAGAAGCCAACUCUCAAGAGUCUCGCCGAACUCUAAAAGGUCUCCAUGGUUCCAAAUGUGGCAAGAACACUCCUUGUUGCUGCAUGUUCUUUGUCCAAGUAUAUCUUUUGGAUUUAAUGUGCGCUCCUGUAUUUUGCAAUGCAAAUGAUGUUCAUUUGGGAUCUACAUUGGUGCUAUCUGCUUCAAGCAUGUACUAUGGAUUGUAAUAUGGACUGUAAUGUGUGGGAACACUUGAACUUGGAGUCUGGGAUUGCAUUUAGGAUUGAUGCAUGCUUGAAACUCUC